GGAAUAAAAGUCGUAACAAGGUCUCCGUAGGUGAACCUGCGGAGGGAUCAUUACAGAGUUCAUGCCCUACCGGGUAGAUCUCCCACCCUAUGUUAUUAUUACUUUGUUGCUUUGGCGGGCCGUUAGGCUCCGGCCCGACUACCGGCCCCGGCUGGUAAGCGCGCGCCAGAGGACCCAAAACCCUGAAUAUUAGUGUCGUCUGAGUACUAUAUAAUAGUUAAAACUUUCAACAACGGAUCUCUUGGUUCUG
rnacentral:misc_RNA from 1 species